rnacentral:rRNA from 1 species
CUACGGGAGGCAGCAGUGGGGAAUUUUGGACAAUGGGGGAAACCCUGAUCCAGCCAUCCCGCGUGAGUGAAGAAGGCCUUCGGGUUGUAAAGCUCUUUCGAAAGUGAAGAAAACUUAUUUCGUAAUAUGUUAUAAGUAUGACGGUAACUUUAGAAGAAGCACCGGCUAACUCCGUGCCAGCAGCCGCGGUAAUACGGAGGGUGCGAGCGUUAAUCGGAAUUACUGGGCGUAAAGCGCACGCAGGCGGUUUGUUAAGCUAGAUGUGAAAGCCCCGCGCUUAACGUGGGAUGGUCAUUUAGAACUGGCAGACUAGAGUCUUGGAGAGGGGAGUGGAAUUUCUGGUGUAGCGGUGAAAUGCGUAGAGAUCAGAAGGAACAUCAAUGGCGAAGGCAGCUCUCUGGCCAAAGACUGACGCUCAUGUGCGAAAGUGUGGGUAGCGAACAGGAUUAGAUACCCUGGUAGUCCACACCGUAAACGCUGUCUACUAGCUGUAUGUGUAUUUAAUACGUGUGUAGCGAAGCUAACGCGCUAAGUAGACCGCCUGGGGAGUACGGUCGCAAGAUUAAAACUCAAAU